AUGCACGCUGGCGGCGUGCCUAAUACAUGCCAGUCGAGCGAACGGACGAGAAGCUUGCUUCCCUGAUGUUAGCGGCGGACGGGUGAGUAACACGUGGAUAACCUACCUAUAAGACUGGGAUAACUUCGGGAAACCGGAGCUAAUACCGGAUAAUAUUUUGAACCGCAUGGUUCAAAAGUGAAAGACGGUCUUGCUGUCACUUAAAGAUGGAUCCGCGCUGCAUUAGCUAGUUGGUAAGGUAACGGCUUACCAAGGCAACGAUGCAUAGCCGACCUGAGAGGGUGAUCGGCCACACUGGAACUGAGACACGGUCCAGACUCCUACGGGAGGCAGCAGUAGGGAAUCUUCCGCAAUGGGCGAAAGCCUGACGGAGCAACGCCGCGUGAGUGAUGAAGGUCUUCGGAUCGUAAAACUCUGUUAUUAGGGAAGAACAUAUGUGUAAGUAACUGUGCACAUCUUGACGGUACCUAAUCAGAAAGCCACGGCUAACUACGUG
rnacentral:rRNA from 1 species